rnacentral:rRNA from 1 species
GACGUAGGAUGCAAGCGUUGUCCGGAAUUAUUGGGCGUAAAGAGUUCGUAGGCGGUUACCUAAGUCUGGUGUUAAAUACUGGAGCUCAACUCCGGCAUGGCAUUGGAAACUGGGUGGCUAGAGUGCGGUAGAGGUCACAGGAAUUCCAGGUGUAGCGGUGAAAUGCGUAGAUAUCUGGAGGAACACCAGUGGCGAAAGCGUGUGACUGGGCCGUAACUGACGCUGAGGAACGAAAGCCAGGGUAGCGAAAGGG